GACGAACGCUGGCGGCGUGCCUAAUACAUGCAAGUUGAGCGCUGAAGGUUGGUACUUGUACCAACUGGAUGAGCAGCGAACGGGUGAGUAACGCGUGGGGAAUCUGCCUUUGAGCGGGGGACAACAUUUGGAAACGAAUGCUAAUACCGCAUAAAAACUUUAAACACAAGUUUUAAGUUUGAAAGAUGCAAUUGCAUCACUCAAAGAUGAUCCCGCGUUGUAUUAGCUAGUUGGUGAGGUAAAGGCUCACCAAGGCGAUGAUACAUAGCCGACCUGAGAGGGCGGUCGGCCACAUUGGGACUGAGACACGGCCCAAACUCCUACGGGAGGCAGCAGUAGGGAAUCUUCGGCAAUGGACGAAAGUCUGACCGAGCAACGCCGCGUGAGUGAAGAAGGUUUUCGGAUCGUAAAACUCUGUUGGUAGAGAAGAACGUUGGUGAGAGUGGAAAGCUCAUCAAGUGACGGUAACUACCCAGAAAGGGACGGCUAACUACGUG
rnacentral:rRNA from 1 species